rnacentral:rRNA from 1 species
AUUGAACGCUGGCGGCAUGCUUUACACAUGCAAGUCGGACGAGUGGCGAACGGGUGAGUAAUAUAUUGGAACGUACCGAGUAAUGGGGGAUAACCAAUCGAAAGAUUGGCUAAUACCGCAUAUUAUUCUACCGGCCAAUAUCUGAUUAGCUAGUUGGUGGGGUAAAGGUCUACCAGGGCGACGAUCAGUAGCGGGUCUGAGAGGAUGAUGCGCCACCCUGGGACUGUGCCCCGGCCUAGACUCUUGCGGGAGGCAGCGGUGGGGAAUUUUGGCCAAUGGGCGCAAUCCUGGUCCAGCCAUGCCGGGUGUCUGAAGAAGCCCUUCUGGUUGUAAAGGACUUUUGUUAGGGAAGCGGUACCUAAAGAAUAAGCACCGGCUAACUACGUGCCAGCAGCCGCGGUAAUUC